UUGCAGUCCUGAUUGCCAGAACAGAGGCAUUUGAAAAUGGGGAGAGAGAGAGAUGAACAUAAUCCAUGUUAAUUCCUUGGUUAGAUCUGGCUGUCAUCCUUGCUCAAAACCACCAAGGGAAAAGCUCAAUCCAGUGGGUGGCUCAGAGUGGACGAGGUGUAGGAUUCUGUGCUUUUGUCAUAGAUUAUAUAUUUCUCUCACUUCCUCUUCCAUCCGACAAGAAGAUGGCUAAUCCUACUAUACGAAGCAACCAUAGAAUAUAGUGAUCAGCUGUUUGACUGCACAGAGAGGGGUUGAAAAGACUUCUUUGUCAGGUAAAAGAGAAGUGUUUUCUUUACAGACAGUUCCUUUGAUGUUCAUGUGCUGUGCUCAAAAACAAAAUUGCCUUGAAAUGUUUUAUAUAGAUAGGAUUUAUACUCUUUCCUCACCAUAAAAGAAAAAAGUUUGGAGAGAAAAAUGUUGCAUGCAAGUAUGAAUUCCCAAAGAAAUCAUAGCAAGCAACUAUGUUGGGUGGGUUGAGGGCAAGAUGGGAACAAAGAGACAAGUCCAUGAAGUCUUCUUUCCAGACCUUUGAACAGUAACAGCAGUACAAGUCUGUACUAACUGCAAGCUCUGCUAUGUACUGCAAGUGAACUCAGACUACUCCAUUGAGCCACAUAAAUGGGGGAAGAUGCUGAGCUCUGGAUAUGGAAACAACAGAUGGCAGAGGAAGAUGAAGCAGUGGUAGGGGCCCCAAGAAAGCUUCCCCAUUGGUGUGUUUGGUUUGUCUUAGGACUUUUAAUUGUUGUUGAGGAAGCCAUUAGUUGUUUGAUUAAUGAUAUAUGGUUUUGUUUCUUGUAUUUAUUGUUGAGUGCAGUCAUCAUGCAAGAUUUAGUCAACUUGAUCUGGUCACCAAAAUAGAUCUGCUUCUAAAAUAAGAUGCUCUUCCCAGUCACCUCACCUUGUUCAUCUCCAGUGUUGAAGUGCUUGGAGGACAGUAGGCUUAUUGGAGGGCUUUGCUAUGCAUGGAGGAAAAAGAUAGACCUUUUCUCAUCAGAACACAAUGCUGUGGAUUCAUCAGCCAUCACCAUGGGCAGCUUUAGAGCAAGAACACAUGCAAACAGCUACUGCAGCUGCCUUCGUGUUGCUUUGUUGGAGCGGAGUGGGGUGAGAGGACCACUAAAACUCCAUGGUGGAAGGGAAGAAAAGCUAACCAGUCUGAAGCAGAAACUUACUAGCUUUAAAGUACUGUAUGUGCUAAGCCCAUUAUAGCCAUGGAAAUGCUUGCUGUGCUCUCAAAUUCUCGGUAUAAUCAUUAAAACAAAGACUUGAUCGAUC